rnacentral:piRNA from 1 species
UAGGAUACACAUUCAAUAAGCCGGUAGU